CCUCCCUGACUGGGCCCCUCAUCAGGCACCUCCACGCCCCUGUCGAAAGCUCUCUGGGGGAAAAGAGCAAGUCAGCAGCCUGGCCCACCUCUUUCCCAGGGCCUGGCUCUAAAACCCAGGCUAGGGCUCUUGGAAUGGCCGCCCCUUCCCUGCACCCUCGCAUCCCGCAGUACCCUGCUCUUCUGUGGAGAAGACCGGGAGGAUUCCAUUCGAACGCUACAGAAGUUGUAUGCCACAAGCCGUCCUUGAAGACCAAGAAAGAAAAUAUAAAGACCCUGCCAGACGCUGCACAGGCGCCUGACCCCUCACGUACGGAGCGUGAAACAAUGCGCCUCUGGCUCUCCCGGUGCAUCCCACCAUACCGGACCAGCGCGGGGAGGGCGCCGGGCGGCGAGGGGCAGGGGGGAUGACCCGGACGCUAGUCGCCAGCCCUCCAUCUCCCUCACAGGCCGCAGUGCCCAGGAUCCCCUCCCCCGCCGCCUGCCACAUCUGGUUCCACUCAGGUCCUCCCCCACCUCCAGGCGCGCUCCUCCUCCCAUCUCCUCCCUCGUUUCCAGAAAAGCGGAGGCGAUUUUU